rnacentral:rRNA from 1 species
UACGUAGGGGGCAAGCGUUAUCCGGAAUUAUUGGGCGUAAAGAGCUCGUAGGCGGUUUGUCGCGUCUGCCGUGAAAGUCCGGGGCUCAACUCCGGAUCUGCGGCGGGUACGGGCAGACUAGAGUGAUGUAGGGGAGACUGGAAUUCCUGGUGUAGCGGUGAAAUGCGCAGAUAUCAGGAGGAACACCGAUGGCGAAGGCAGGUCUCUGGGCAUUAACUGACGCUGAGGAGCGAAAGCAUGGGGAGCGAACAGG